GACGAACUGUCCAAACGUUAUUCGGAAUCACUGGGCUUAAAGGGUGCGUAGGCGGACUUGCAAGUGGGAUCUGAAAUCCCUCGGCUCAACCGAGGAACUGGGUCCCAAACUGCGAGACUAGAGUGAGGCAGGGGUAAGUGGAACUUGCGGUGGAGCGGUGAAAUGCUUUGAUAUCGCAAGGAACACCGGUGGCGAAGGCGACUUACUGGGCCUUAACUGACGCUCAAGCACGAAAGCUAGGGUAG
rnacentral:rRNA from 1 species